UACAUAGGGUGCAAGCGUUGUCCGGAAUUAUUGGGCGUAAAGAGCUCGUAGGUCGUUUGUUACGUCGGAUGUGAAAACCUGAGGCUCAACCUCAGGCCUGCAUUCGAUACGGGCAAACUAGAGUUUGGUAGGGGAGACUGGAAUUCCUGGUGUAGCGGUGGAAUGCGCAGAUAUCGGGAGGAACACCGAUGGCGAAGGCAGCCCCCUGGGCCUGUACUGACGCUCAUGCACGAAAGCGUGGGGAGCAAACAGG
rnacentral:rRNA from 1 species